CGGCGGAGGCUACUGCUAUUGGGGUUCGAUUAAGCCAUGCAAGUUGAACGAUUCUUCGGAAUCGUGGCGAACGGCUCAGUAACACGUGGAUAACCUACCCUUAGGACCGGUAUAACCCUGGGAAACUGGGGACAAUCCCGGAUAGGUGAUUUUUUCUGUAAUGAUUUUUCAUUUAAAUGCUCCGGCGCCUGAGGAUGGGUCUGCGGCAGAUUAGGUAGUUGGUAGGGUAAUGGCCUACCAAGCCGGUGAUCUGUACGGGUUGUGAGAGCAAGAGCCCGGAGAUGGAACCUGAGACAAGGUUCCAGGCCCUACGGGGCGCAGCAGGCGCGAAACCUCCGCAAUGCGAGAAAUCGCGACGGGGGGACCCCAAGUGCCACUCUUAACGGGGUGGCUUUUCUUGAGUGUAAAAAGCUUUUGGAAUAAGGGCUGGGGGCAAGACCGGUGCCAGCCGCCGCGGUAACACCGGCAGCUCUAGUGGUAGCCAUUUUUAUUGGGCCUAAAGCGUUCGUAGCCGGUUUGAUAAGUCUCUGGUGAAAUCCUGUAGCUUAACUGUGGGAAUUGCUGGAGAUACUAUUAGACUUGAGGUCGGGAGAGGUUAGCGGUACUCCCAGGGUAGGGGUGAAAUCCUGUAAUCCUGGGAGGACCACCUGUGGCGAAGGCGGCUAACUGGAACGAACCUGACGGUGAGGGACGAAAGCCAGGGGCGCGAACCGGAUUAGAUACCCGGGUAGUCCUGGCCGUAAACGAUGUGGA
rnacentral:rRNA from 1 species